rnacentral:rRNA from 1 species
AGAGUUUGAUCCUGGCUCAGGACGAACGCUGGCGGCGCGCCUAAUGCAUGCAAGUCGAGCGACGCAUUCCUUGCCCGUAAGGGCGGGUUUGACGGAGCGGCGAACGGGUGCGUAACACGUGACCAAUCUGCCCCGAAGACCGGGAUAGCCCGGGGAAACUCGGAUUAAUACCGGAUGAUCUCACCACGACGCAUGUCGUAGUGAGCAAAGGUUCAGGCGCUUCGGGAUGAGGUCGCGGCCCAUCAGCUCGUUGGUGAGGUAACGGCUCACCAAGGCAACGACGGGUAGCUGGUCUGAGAGGACGAUCAGCCACACUGGAACUGAGAUACGGUCCAGACUCCUACGGGAGGCAGCAGCAGGGAAUCUUGCGCAAUGGGCGAAAGCCUGACGCAGCGACGCCGCGUGGGGGAUGAAUGCCUUAGGGUUGUAAACCCCUUUCACGAGGGAAGAAACUGACGGUACCUCGAGAAGAAGCCCCGGCCAACUACGUGCCAGCAGCCGCGGUAACACGUAGGGGGCGAGCGUUGUCCGGAUUUAUUGGGCGUAAAGGGCUCGUAGGCGGCUUGACAAGUCGGCCGUGAAAGUCCAGGGCUCAACCUGGGAA